UCCAGUCAGACUUCAUUUUACAGUCCUCAGAGCAGAAGGAGGAAAACAGCCAGUCUGAGGCAGUGUUACUGGUUUACCUCUCAGACUCCAGAAGAUGAAGAAAGAGGAGGAAGAGGAGGAAGAGGAGGAAGAGGAGGACGGAGCAGAGUCUGUAAUAUCCAGCUGUCUGUCUAUGAAGAGUGACCGGUCUAAAGAUCCUCCUCCAGCCUUCAGUAAUGAACCUGGACCCUCAGACACAAAACAGAGAGCAGAGUCUGUAAUAUCCAGCUGUCUGUCUAUGAAGAGUGACCGGUCUAAAGAUCCUCCUCCAGCCUUCAGUAAUGAACCUGGAC